rnacentral:misc_RNA from 1 species
UCUCCGUAGGUGAACCUGCGGAGGGAUCAUUACAAGUGACCCCGUUCUUACCACCCCGAUGUUCAUAACCCUUUGUUGUCCGACUCUGUUACCUGCUAGUCGACUCUUCCUUCUCGCGGAAGCUCCGGUUGGACGCUUCAAACUCUUGCAUAACUUUGCAGUCUUAUUAAUCUUUUUUACUAAAUUAAAACUUAUAACAACCGAUCUCUUGUAUCUGCCAUCGUUGAAGAACGCAGCAUAUCGUAUGAGCACACUUCUGAACUCCGUCACCAUUCGUCA